AUUGAACGCUGGAGGCAGGCCUAACAAAUGCAAGUCGAGCGAGCGGAGGACGGGUGAGUAAUGUCUGGGAAACUGCCUGAUGGAGGGGGAUAACUACUGGAAACGGUAGCUAAUACCGCAUACCAUCAGAUGUGCCCAGAUGGGAUUAGCUAGUUGGUGGGGUAACGGCUCACCUAGGCGACGAGCCCUAGCUGGUCUGAGAGGAUUACCAGCCACACUGGAACUGAGACACGUUCCAGACUCCUACGGGAGGCAGCAGUGGGGAAUAUUGCACAAUGUGCGCAAGCCUGAUGCAGCCAUGCCUCGUGUGUGAAGAAGGCCUUCGGGUUGUAAAGCACUUUCAGCGUGGAGGCGUUACCCGCAGAAGAAGCACCGGCUAACUCCGUGCCAGCCGCCGCGGUAAUAC
rnacentral:rRNA from 1 species